rnacentral:rRNA from 1 species
GACGAACGCUGGCGGCGUGCUUAACACAUGCAAGUCGAACGGAAAGGCCCUGCUUUUGUGGGGUGCUCGAGUGGCGAACGGGUGAGUAACACGUGAGUAACCUGCCCUUGACUUUGGGAUAACUUCAGGAAACUGGGGCUAAUACCGGAUAGGAGCUCCUGCUGCAUGGUGGGGGUUGGAAAGUUUCGGCGGUUGGGGAUGGACUCGCGGCUUAUCAGCUUGUUGGUGGGGUAGUGGCUUACCAAGGCUUUGACGGGUAUCCGGCCUGAGAGGGUGACCGGCCACAUUGGGACUGAGAUACGGCCCAGACUCCUACGGGAGGCAGCAGUGGGGAAUAUUGCACAAUGGGCGGAAGCCUGAUGCAGCAACGCCGCGUGCGGGAUGACGGCCUUCGGGUUGUAAACCGCUUUCGCCUGUGACGAAGCGUGAGUGACGGUAAUGGGUAAAGAAGCACCGGCUAACUACGUGCCAGCAGCCGCGGUGAUACGUAGGGUGCGAGCGUUGUCCGGAUUUAUUGGGCGUAAAGGGCUCGUAGGUGGUUGAUCGCGUCGGAAGUGUAAUCUUGGGGCUUAACCCUGAGCGUGCUUUCGAUACGGGUUGACUUGAGGAAGGUAGGGGAAAAUGGAAUUCCUGGUGGAGCGGUGGAAUGCGCAGAUAUCAGGAGGAACACCAGUGGCGAAGGCGGUUCUCUGGGCCUUUCCCUGACGCUGAGGAGCGAAAGCGUGGGGAGCGAACAGGCUUAGAUACCCUGGUAGUCCACGCUGUAAACGGUGGGUACUAGGUGUGGGGUCCAUUCCACGGGUUCCGUGCCGUAGCUAACGCUUUAAGUACCCCGCCUGGGGAGUACGGCCGCAAGGCUAAAACUCAAAGGAAUUGACGGGGCCCCGCACAAGCGGCGGAGCAUGCGGAUUAAUUCGAUGCAACGCGUAGAACCUUACCUGGGUUUGACAUGGAUCGGGAGUGCUCAGAGAUGGGUGUGCCUCUUUUGGGGUCGGUUCACAGGUGGUGCAUGCCUGUCGUCAGCUCGUGUCGUGAGAUGUUGGGUUAAGUCCCGCAACGAGCGCAACCCUUGUUCACUGUUGCCAGCACGUUAUGGUGGGGACUCAGUGGAGACCGCCGGGGUCAACUCGGAGGAAGGUGGGGAUGACGUCAAGUCCUCAUGCCCCUUAUGUCCAGGGCUUCACGCAUGCUACAAUGGCUGGUACAGAGAGUGGCGAGCCUGUGAGGGUGAGCGAAUCUCGGAAAGCCGGUCUCAGUUCGGAUUGGGGUCUGCAACUCGACCUCAUGAAGUCGGAGUCGCUAGUAAUCGCAGAUCAGCAACGCUGCGGUGAAUAAAGUCCCGGGGCU